rnacentral:rRNA from 1 species
UACGUAGGACCCAAGCGUUAUCCGGAGUGACUGGGCGUAAAGAGUUGCGUAGGCGGCUUAGUAAGUGGAUAGUGAAACCUGGUGGCUCAACCAUUCAGACUAUUAUCCAAACUGCUAAGCUCGAGAAUGGUAGAGGUAGCUGGAAUUUCUAGUGUAGGAGUGAAAUCCGUAGAUAUUAGAAGGAACACCAAUGGCGUAGGCAGGCUACUGGACCAUUUCUGACGCUGAGGCACGAAAGCGUGGGGAGCGAACCGG